rnacentral:rRNA from 1 species
CCUACGGGUGGCAGCAGUGGGGAAUAUUGCACAAUGGGCGAAACCCUGAUGCAGCGACGCCGCGUGAGUGAAGAAGUAUUUCGGUUUGUAAAGCUCUAUUAGCAGGGAAGAACAUACCGGUACCUGACUAUGAACCUCCGGCUAACUACGUGCCAGAAGCCGCGGUAAUACGGAGGGGGAAAGCGUUAUCUGGAGUUACUGGGUGUAAAGGGAGCGUGGACGGGAGUACAAGUCUGAAGUGAAAUGCCGGGGCUUAACCCCGGAACUGCAUUGGAAACUGUGCAGCUAGAGUGCAGGAGAGGUAAGUGGAAUUCCUUGUGUAGCGGUGAAAUGCGUAGAGAUUAGGAGGAACACCAGUGGCGAAGGCGGCUUACUGGACUGUAACUGACGUUGAGGCGCGAAAGCGUGGGGAGCAAACAGGAUUAGAUACCCUAGUAGUC